UCGAGUAGUUUGUGGAUGAGCUUCCAUGUAUAGGCUUUGCUGACUACAGUUUUUUAAGGAUUAGAAAAUACAGAGUAUUCCUGUCCUGAUUGUACACAAGAGAAUAAUGAUAGUUGAACCUCGAAGGGGCAUAUGUGCUAGAGCGGCGGAAGCUUGUGAAGCCAUGGUCUGUGAUCUGCAGAUAUAUAGUAGGAACAAGUGCGAUUUGGAUUUCCUUUUUGUUUGUCUUAUGUGUCGCUUUGAGAUGAUGAGGCCGAGAUAUGGCCUUGCUGCUGUGCGUCAGAACCAUGGCUCGAAUGUGUGUUCCAGCCUCUAUCAGACCUGGCCUCUAAGCAUAUACUUCCAAGCUACGGUGGUGCACAUGCUAGGCUACUCAUUUGGUGCAGCCACCCCCCCCCCCCCCCCCCCCUUUAUAGACCUCUUGAGUUCCAGUUUAGUUCAAUAAAGGAAAGCUUUCUCUUCAUGGUUUGCUCCUUAUGAUUCAAGAAGGAAGACCACCAGACACUUUUCUAUAAUUAGGUGAUGUAGUGAACCUUCAUCUUGCAGUCAAAUUGCUUACAUAUACUGCCUCUUCAUUUGCACCGUCGAAAAUUGCACAUGGGCUGAUUCAGACUUUGAGGGUUCAGAAAACAGCUUGAAGAGCCAAUCGGUAUGAAGGUGUUGCUCCUUUGUACCAGAUCGUAAAUAGAAGGGGACAUGGUUCAGAUUUGUGACUAUUGUGUGCUCUUGGACAGCCGAGGGAGUGGGUGUCAGAAGAGGGACGUUGGUGGUGUUCGAGAUGUAUCGGUGGUCAGCUGUUGGCAGGGCCCUCAUGGAGACACUGGACAAGAUGGUGCUCAGUGGUGUGCUCAGCCCCAAGCUCGCCUUAAGCAUCCUCCUGCAGUCCGUCCAUGAGAGGUUGGAGCACCAGGUCUAGCAAGGCAUUCUUCAAGUAAUUCAUCUCAUCCAGUAGGUUGAUUGUUUUUUUGGUAAGUCAUCUCAUCCAGUAGCUUGAUAGUAGGGCUGGUUUCCAUUGGUGCAUUACUUCGUAAAGAAAAUAAAUCACAUUGCAUUUACCCAAUGAUUCUUGUCCAGAACCAAUCAUAUUAUUUCUUUUCUACGAGUACUAUAUAUGUUGAUUAUUCAGAGGUCUCAUCUUCUUGAGACUUGCAAAGGUAAGACGUACGAAGAAUGAGAGAUGGUGCAAGUUUCUUAAGUUUAUCAUCCCAUUGAAGCAUCACAAAAUGCAAGUAGUACUAUUCAAAGGGGUGAAGAAAUAACAUGCUAAUCAUUUUUAGAGGGCAAACUAGCUACCAUUUUUUUAAAUGGAGUGUGGCAUUGACCUCUGAGUCUGGAGCAAUUGUACUAAAAGUGUUUGAUAUUAACAAGUGACAACUAGCCAGACUGGUUACAUGUGAUGCGCUCCCUAGAGGCGCAACAGAGGCGAUAAACUCUUGGGUAUUUUUGGUAAAAUAAAUUUGUUCUUCUGUACAUUUUGUUGUACGAGCUAAAACAUGGCAGUUUAGACAAACAACACACUUCAGCCUCUGCUUAUAAUUGGAUUAAAGAUGCACAUCUGCCUUUUCUUGCGUUGUGCUCAGAGCAUAGAAUUUCAUUCUGUUAAUUCAUUGAUCGUGGCAGGAUUUAAACUUCUACAGGAAAUUAGUAGUGAUUGUUUGUACUGCAUUUCAAAGUUAGAACUAAAGGAGACACGGGCGUGACAAUUACACCAUUUGAAGGUCUAUCUUUUGCACAAUCUGAAUUUAUUAUUGUGUUGGCGAGCUAUGAAAGAACGGUGGUGCUGCAGCACUGAGGUACGUAUAUUACUUGCAAUGACAUGCAUUUGAUGGCCACCUUUACAGAAGCUCCUCUCUGGAAACAAGGAGCAAAUGACUAUUAUUUGAAAUCUGUUGUGCAUUAUUAUUUUUGGUUAUGUUCCAAAAUCCUAGAUGCAUAGCAAAGCACAUUAGUGGAUAUAUGAAUCAUUUUUGUCUACUGAUUCUUGUUCAAUUACUUUUAUGAAAGGCAAGGGUAUGCACUUUUCACUAUCAAUCUUGGAGUAAGACGCCUGCAUGUGAGGAGUAGUUGAUGAAAGCUAUUGGUUACCACACCUCUUAUUAGUGCCAAGUUGUAGCAUCUGAAUUGCUGUGGUGUUCUUUCAUAGUCUUUCUUAGCUUUAUUUAUUUUCCAUUGAUUGCUGACCUGUAUAGUGUUGUAAUUUCCCAUAACUACAAACUAUCGGGCUAACAUAUUGGCAUCUGCCAGUAUUGCCCUUCAUACGGAAAGACUGAAAAUGCUGAAGAACUGCCUGGCAAGCAUAUUGGCA